CGGGGUGUGGCGCAGUUUGGUAGCGCACCUGCUUUGGGAGCAGGGGGUCGUGGGUUCAAAUCCCGCCACCCCGACCA
rnacentral:tRNA from 1 species